CCCUUAGAUGUUCUGGGCUGCACGCGUGCUACACUGAUAUUGCCAAUAUGUCAUUCUUAUCCGAAAUGGAUUGGGUAAUCAAGUAAUGAAAUUUCAUGCUUGGAAUCGGUAAUUGCAAUUUUAUCGUGAACGAGGAAUUCCUAGUAAGAACUAGUCAUCAGCUAAUGUUGAUUAUGUCCCUGCCCUUUGUACACACCGCCCGUCGCUACUACUGAUUGGGUGUUCAAGUGAGAUGCUUAGACCCUUGUUGCAUGGUUCAUUAUUGCGCUCCGAAAGGAAAAAGUUUCAAGCUUGAGUGUCUAGAGGAAGUAAAAGUCGUAACA
rnacentral:rRNA from 1 species